rnacentral:rRNA from 1 species
GUAGGGAAUAUUGGGCAAUGGAUGCAAGUCUGACCCAGCCAUCCCGCGUGCCGGAAGAAGGCCCUCAGGGUUGUAAACGGCUUUUGACGGUGAAGAAUCGACAGGAUGCGUCCUGUUUUGACGGUAGCCGUUGAAUAAGCACCGGCUAACUCCGUGCCAGCAGCCGCGGUAAUACGGAGGGUGCGAGCGUUGUCCGGAUUUAUUGGGUUUAAAGGGUGCGUAGGCUGGAAGGUCAGUCAGCGGUGAAAAGCUGUCGCUUAACGUUAGUCUUGCCGCAGAUACUUCCUUUCUUGGAUGAGGAGGAGGCCACUGGAACGGAUGGUGUAGCGGUGAAAUGCAUAGAUAUCAUCCAGAACACCGAUUGCGAAGGCAGGUGGCUGUACCUUAAUCGACGCUGAUGCACGAAAGCAUGGGGAGCAAACAGGAUUAGAAACCCCUGUAGUCC